UCAAAGAAAGGAGAUGAAAUGGAAGCUUUGAUUGCCUGCUGAAAUGGAGUGAGGACUGUGCCCUGCUCCACAGUGCUGGAGAGGAAGGUCAGCAAGAGGCUUAAAGAACCAGGGUCCUAGGACAGGCAGUGGAGGGCCAGUGCUGCCAUCGUCAAGGCUGGCACUCCAGCGUAUGCCUGGAGGGUGAGACAGAUGACAAGGACCUGUGACACACUGAGCAGAUGUUCCACUUCAAAGAUGAACCCCUCAAUAUGACUCCGGAGGAUGGCGGUGACCUGCUAACCUCAUCCACACCAAAUACCCACAGACACUGUCAGAUAUCCAAGGCAUCUCUGAGAAGACCUUGGGAUCUACAACCUCUGCAAGAUGGUGGCCAAUGGGACACUAAGGUGCCGGCCAUCGAGCCAUCAGUGUCAAUGAUUCUGUCACCAAGAGCAAGUUUGACAGCAUCUAUGGCUGCUGGGAAUCUCUCACUGAUGACAUCAAAUGGGUCGCAAAUGGGAUAAUUUCAGGGAAGGUGGUGGUGGUAGCAGGCUGUGGUGAAGUGGGCAAUGGCUGUGCCCAGCCCCGGGGGGUUUCAGGGCCUUCAGACUGUGCAGGACACUGGGUCUAGCACGUGGUAUGCGGGGGUAUUCGGAAGAAUUCCCUGCAGGGCAGGGUCGCCCACACAGAACCCCAAUCUGGCUUUUUGCACCACAGCCUAGCUCAGUUGGGUUGCCAGGUCCCCCUCGGGACCUCAUAUUCUGAGCCUGCUUCUCUGGUCUUCUCUCUGAUUCUGGGAAUUCCCUGGUACAUUUUCUAAGAAAUUUCACUUCUUCAUUAGGGUUAGAAUCUGCUACCAUGUCUUGCAAUCAACUGGGAGAACUGGGGAUGGAGUUGGGGGAGCAUUUGUCUAACAGGUACAGAACCUGGGGCCCAUCUCUAGUGUCUCACAAACCAGGUGCAUGCUGGGGGUAGGAGAAAGAGGGCCAGGAACUCAUUUCACAGUGAGUUUGAGGCCAGCCUGGGCCGCAUGAGACACUGCUUCAGUGCACAGCAGAAACUUGGUGUUCCCCACCAGCAAUCCCUGGGAUGAUGAAUCUUCCCUCACCAAAUGGAAACUGACUAAUCCUUGUGAUGGUGACUUGGUAAAGGACACCAGAUUUUAAAAGAC